GAUGAACGCUGGCGGCGUGCCUAAUACAUGCAAGUCGAGCGAACGGACGAGAAGCUUGCUUCUCUGAUGUUAGCGGCGGACGGGUGAGUAACACGUGGAUAACCUACCUAUAAGACUGGGAUAACUUCGGGAAACCGGAGCUAAUACCGGAUAAUAUUCUGAACCGCAUGGUUCAAAAGUGAAAGACGGUCUUGCUGUCACUGAUAGAUGGAUCCGCGCCGCAUUAGCUAGUUGGUAAGGUAACGGCUUACCAAGGCAACGAUGCAUAGCCGACCUGAGAGGAUGAUCGGCCACACUGGAACUGAGACACGGUCCAGACUCCUACGGGAGGCAGCAGUAGGGAAUCUUCCGCAAUGGGCGAAAGCCUGACGGAGCAACGCCGCGUGAGUGAUGAAGGUCUUCGGAUCGUAAAACUCUGUUAUUAGGGAAGAACAUAUGUGUAAGUAACUGUGCACAUCUUGACGGUACCUAAUCAGAAAGCCACGGCUAACUACGUG
rnacentral:rRNA from 1 species